AUUGAACGCUGGCGGCAGGCCUAACACAUGCAAGUCGAGCGGAUGAAGGGAGCUUGCUCCUGGAUUCAGCGGCGGACGGGUGAGUAAUGCCUAGGAAUCUGCCUGGUAGUGGGGGAUAACGUCGGGAAACGGGCGCUAAUACCGCAUACGUCCUGAGGGAGAAAGUGGGGGAUCUUCGGACCUCACGCUAUCAGAUGAGCCUAGGUCGGAUUAGCUAGUUGGUGGGGUAAAGGCCUACCAAGGCGACGAUCCGUAACUGGUCUGAGAGGAUGAUCAGUCACACUGGAACUGAGACACGGUCCAGACUCCUACGGGAGGCAGCAGUGGGGAAUAUUGGACAAUGGGCGAAAGCCUGAUCCAGCCAUGCCGCGUGUGUGAAGAAGGUCUUCGGAUUGUAAAGCACUUUAAGUUGGGAGGAAGGGCAGUAAGUUCAUACCUUGCUGUUUUGACGUUACCAACAGAAUAAGCACCGGCUAACUUCGUG
rnacentral:rRNA from 1 species